UACGGGAGGCAGCAGUGGGGAAUAUUGCACAAUGGGCGCAAGCCUGAUGCAGCCAUGCCGCGUGUAUGAAAAAGGCCUUCGGGUUGUAAAGUACUUUCAGUCGUGAGGAAGGUGUUAAGGUUAAUAACCUUAGCAAUUGACGUUAGCGACAGAAGAAGCACCGGCUAACUCCGUGCCAGCAGCCGCGGUAAUACGGAGGGUGCGAGCGUUAAUCGGAAUUACUGGGCGUAAAGGGCACGCAGGCGGUUAAUUAAGUUGGAUGUGAAAUCCCCGGGCUUAACCUGGGAAUGGCAUUCAAGCUGGUUAGCUAGAGUCUUGUAGAGGGGGUAGAAUUCCAUGUGUAGCGGUGAAAUGCGUAGAGAUGUGGAGGAAUACCGGUGGCGAAGGCGGCCCCUGGACAAAGGCUGACGCUCAUGUGCGAAAGCGUGGGGAGCAAAC
rnacentral:rRNA from 1 species